rnacentral:lncRNA from 1 species
AUGGUGCUGGAGCCUGUGCCGAUGAGCCCGUUAGGGGAAAUGGAGGCUCCCAGGCACGAUGAGCUGUCCCAGGCCAUCUCACCAAGACGGGGCCCGAAUGCUCCCGUGAAGCGUGAAGCGCAGUGGGGAAGGCAGCGGGACGCUACACUGACUUCUUCCCUUGCAAAGGCGCAGGAUGAAUCUGCUUGGAGCAAGGCGGGCAGAAGAGGUCUUCCUAAGAAGUCUUCCGCGGGGAGCGGUGGGCCUCUGGGAUGCCCAAGGUCUCUGCCAUCACCCUCUGGUCUCUACGCUUUCAGAGGCUGGAGUGCAAUGAUGCGAUCUUGGUUUACGGCAACCAUAAGACACUGGGAAAGGUUGGCAAAUCCUGUUACCCUCAGUGCCCAUUGCAGCCGGGAGAAGGGAAAAGAAAAUUCCUGUCCCAGUGGGCAAGGGGCAAGGGUGAGAAGGCCCCACCCACAACACCCAGAGACACAGUGCCUGCCUAAAACUGAAGAAGUACCAAGACAGCAGAGAACAAUCUCCACACAGUGUACAUGCACACCUUCCAGCCCCAGGCUAGCAAGUAUCAAGUAACAAGUAGUAGUCUGCUGCUGGAGAAGGAUCAAGAGCACAUAGAGAAGCCAGGCAUGGCGGCACAUGCCUGCAGUCCCAGCUACUCGGAAGGUUGAGGCAUGCAGAUCACUUGAGCCCAGGAGUUCAAGACCAGCCUGCGAGACAUAGAGAUGCAGGAUCUCUGAGGUGCAGGAUCAUAGACAAAGUCUGGAGCUGAGGGUGGAAUAAGAUCAUUGAGGAAAAAAACGCACCUGGUUCUACCUUAAACACAAAAGAAUGCUAGAAGAAUCUGAAGCCCACAGUGCACUGAUGGUAAGCCAGUAACAACAGAGGCCAAACCCAGCUCCAUUCUUGUCCCCUACACUUAAGGCCUAGCAAAAGAAAAGGCAUACGCAUUUCCAGUCAUAAAUACCAUUUACCUCAUCUCUACCAUCCUAUGCAAGAUGUCUGUAAACAAAAAAUUAGAAGACAUACAAAGAAGCAAGGUAAAAUAACAGACUGUCAAGAGACAAAGAAAUCAACAAACAAGGCCGGGUGCGGUGGCUCAUGCCUGUAAUCCUAGCAAUUUGGGAGGCAGAGGCGGGUGGUUUGCCUUAGCCCAGGAGUUCAAGACGAGCCUGGGAAACACGGCAAAGCCCCUCUCUACAAAAAAAUACAAAAAUUAGCCAGGCAUGGUGGUGUGCACCUGUGGUCCUAGCUACUUGGCAGGCUAAGGUGGGAGAAUCACCUGAACCCAGGGAGGUCGAAGCUGUAGUGAGCUGUGAUUGUGCCACUGUACUCCAGCCUGGGUGACAGAGCAAGACCCUGUCUCAAAAAAUAAAUAAAUAAAUAAAUAAAAUAAAAAUAAAUAAAUAAAUAAGAAAAGGUAUAAAAUUGUAGAUUAUCUGGCCUUUCUCGAUGUGAG